rnacentral:tRNA from 1 species
GUGUGGUCUAGUCGGUAGAAUGUUGCUCUGCAACAACAAAGUCCCGGGUUCAAUUCCCAGCUUCAUGGCA